AUGAAGCGAGAAGGGGUUUGCACGAGAAGCCAGACCAAGAAACAAAAAGUUUGGACAGCUUGGCGAGGAAAUUCGCAUCCGGACAAUCCUUUUGAAGAGGAAUUUGGCAGCUUAAGUGAUUCUGGCCAAGGUGUCUGGACGGAACUCAGUGAAGAAGUCGCCUCAAACUUAGCGGGCACUGUUGUAUCGCUUGCUUCAUUUGCUGAUGGAAACGCCGUGUUUUUUGCAUGCACCGGCAUAAUUAUCGUAAACAAGCCUACUUUUACAAGUUUUCUGACUUCAUUAAGUUUGGUUAGAUCUAUUGAUGAUGACACCAAGAUCCUUCAUGAUAUGACGAUUGAAGUGCGCCUUCCGGAUAACACACUUGAACUGGGAUGGUUGGAAUCCUAUGAUUUGAAAUACAAUGUCGCGGUUAUCAAUAUCGGUCGCUACCAUUCUCUUCAAGUAGCAUGCCUAGAUCAUCAGCGGCAAUUUGAGUCUCACAGUAAAGUAGUUGCCGUAGGGCGUUGCUUCAACUCAGGAAAACUAAUGGCCACAGCUGGGAUGUUGACCGACAAUCCACAAGGAGCUUACCGGGAGGAGCUUGCCAUCUCCACAUGUGAAAUUACUAUGGUGCGGUGUUAA
rnacentral:rRNA from 1 species